GACGAACCGAGCGAACGUUGUUCGGAAUCACUGGGCAUAAAGGGUGCGUAGGCGGGCCACCAAGUCUGUGGUGAAAUUCUCUGGCUUAACCAGAGUAGUGCCGCGGAUACUGGGGGCCUCGAGGGGGGUAGGGGCAUGCGGAACUCUGGGUGGAGCGGUGAAAUGCGUUGAGAUCCGGAGGAACUCCGGUGGCGAAGGCGGCAUGCUGGACCUUUUCUGACGCUGAGGCACGAAAGCCAGGGGAGCGAACGGG
rnacentral:rRNA from 1 species